rnacentral:rRNA from 1 species
GACGAACGCUGGCGGCGUGCUUAAUACAUGCAAGUCGAACGGAGUUAAGGGUUUCGGCCUUUAACUUAGUGGCGAACGGGUGAGUAACGCGUGAAUAACCUGACUCAAAGAGGGGGAUAACAACGGGAAACUGUUGCUAAUACCGCAUGAGACCACAACACCGCAUGAUGAAGGGGUCAAAGAUUUAUCGCUUUGAGAGGGGUUCGCGUCCCAUUAGGUAGUUGGAGGGGUAACGGCCCACCAAGCCAACGAUGGGUAGCCGAGCUGAGAGGCUGAUCGGCCACACUGGAACUGAGACACGGUCCAGACUCCUACGGGAGGCAGCAGUAGGGAAUAUUGGGCAAUGGGCGCAAGCCUGACCCAGCAACGCCGCGUGAGGGAAGAAGGUUUUCGGAUUGUAAACCUCUGUCCUAUGUGACGAAGGAAGUGACGGUAGCAUAGGAGGAAGCCCCGGCUAACUACGUGCCAGCAGCCGCGGUAAUACGUAGGGGGCGAGCGUUGUCCGGAAUUACUGGGCGUAAAGGGUGCGUAGGCGGUUUGGUAAGUUGGAUGUGAAAUACCCGGGCUUAACUUGGGGGCUGCAUCCAAUACUGUCGGACUUGAGUGCAGGAGAGGAAAGCGGAAUUCCUAGUGUAGCGGUGAAAUGCGUAGAUAUUAGGAGGAACACCGGUGGCGAAGGCGGCUUUCUGGACUGUAACUGACGCUGAGGCACGAAAGCGUGGGGAGCAAACAGGAUUAGAUACCCUGGUAGUCCACGCCGUAAACGAUGA